AUGGGGGAUUUUAAAAUGUCAGACAAGAAAGUUAUCGCUUCCAGUUUGUUGAUGACUUUGGGUCUCCGAGCAUCUCUGGAGCCUGCUGGACGCUGCUCUUGCUGCUUGGUUCCCAAGUUAACCCAUAUCUUGCUCUAUUUACUCUUGCUUGUCAUGUGUUUAUUUAUCUAUUAUUCUUAUGUGUUCAUCCCUUUGUCUGGCAUGCGUUGGUGUCUUCUGGGUUAUUCUUUAAGAAUCAUAUGGGUCUGUUCUGUUGGUGUCAUGUUUUUUUAUAACUAUGUAAUUAAUUACAAACAUAUAUUUAGAUUAGAUUAUCCUUCUUAG
rnacentral:rRNA from 1 species